GGCCAUUUUUUCAGCAAUGGCGUAGGCCUAUCUCAAUAGUUGCCGGAAGUGAGCAGCAAGUAGCAGCGCAGCCGAGCGCAGCAUGCAGCACAGUCAUAUAUAUUAAAGGUUUGGUUGAUUUCAGUACAUAGCGUGGAUGUAUGCGCAGUAACGUUAUAGUAGCAGCAGAAUGGACCGUUUGCGAUCCACUUUUAAAGGCACAAGAACCACAGGGUGAUUCAAUGGAGCCUGAAUACUUCCUGCAAUGAGACAGCACCCUCACCCUGCAUCUGCAAUAAAACAACACCCUCACCCUGCACCUGCAAUAAGACAGCAUCCUCAUCCUGCACCCUCCACUCUCAACCAAAUGGGUUUUGCGAGCCUUUCCCUUUUCCUUAUUUUUAAUAAACCAAACAUUAAGCUUUUCAAA